UGGAUACGAUCAAAAACUCAGGUGACAGCAGAUGCUGGAUGUUCUACCAAUGAUACCUCCAAGAAAUCCUGAUGUAUUUACUUAAGAAAGACAAUCUUUUCCACCAGAAAAAAGCAAAGGUGUCUCAGCAAAGACAAAUGACACUGAAAUGAUGAUAACCUCUAACAAAG